rnacentral:rRNA from 1 species
CCUACGGGUGGCAGCAGUGGGGAAUAUUGCACAAUGGGGGAAACCCUGAUGCAGCGACGCCGCGUGAGGGAAGAAGUAUUUCGGUACGUAAAGCUCUAUCAGCAGGGAAGAAAAUGACGGUGUCUGACUCAGAAGCGCCGGCACACUACGUGCCACCAGCCGCGGGAAUACGUAGGGGGCAAGCGUUAUCCGGAUUUACUGGGUGUAAAGGGAGCGUAGAGGGGGGCGCAAGUCUGAAGUGAAAUCCCAGGGCUUAACCAUGGAACUGCAUUGGAAAAUGUGCAGCUGGAGUGCAGGAGAGGUAAGCGGAAUUCCUAGUGUAGCGGUGAAAUGCGUAGAUAUUAGGAGGAACACCAGUGGCGAAGGCGGCUUACUGGACGGUAACUGACGUUGAGGCGCGAAAGCGGGGGGAGCAAACAGGAUUAGAUACCCUAGUAGUC